AUUUAUAGGACAUCCUCCAUCUACAGUUCAGGCUCCAAUCUUUUUAUUUUAGAUUACAUCUUCUCUAUGAUUCUAGAAAGUUGCAUUUCCAUAGCUUUUAUCAUGACAAUGAACCUUGAGUGAGCAAACAAGCUCCAAUUCAAAUACCUUUUGAUAUGCCAUUGAAGCUUUUAACAUUGGAUGUGUACUGUUUGGUAGCUAUUGGCUCAAAACCUGGUAGAAAAUUCAAGUCUUUUUUAUUUGCAGGUUAUAGGGGAGUUGUUGGAUCAUUUAACUAGCUGGGAUGUCAGAACAUAAUCUAUUGUUGCAGUAUGAUGUAGACCGGCGUAUUUGGAAAAGUUGCACCAGUCCUCUCUCUGGACUAGUGUAUUUGGAUCUGCUGAACCGUAUGACUAUGAUGAUGAGAAGGAAUUGGGUAUGAUCCCAUCGCUGUCGAGCAUGUUCACCCUCAGCUACCGUGGGUCCACACCAAAGUAUGAUCCUAUUGCUCCUAAGGAAGCUUUCACAGUCUUUGACUUACUCGGCAUCACACUUCAGCCAUUGGAAGGCUACCUGCAUCCAACAACUCGGCACUGAGGUGCAGAUGGAUAAACCAAGAGAGGUUAAUAUCAUGCUCACCAGCAAAGGGAUACUGAAAUGAAGGGCUGUGCUUAUCAAGGUGAAAUGUCCCACUCUCGCCGGCAAAGUUGCAGAAGGUAGUCAGGAACUCAGGCAAUCUGAAGAUGGGGUUCUCGUGCACGGCGUCCUUCAUACCAUCAAUGCACAAUCUGCACGAUCUUGCACGCCUCAUGAAUCGUUGCAUGAGAGGAAAUGCAGUUGGUGGGGAGCAUGGAUGCCAAUGCAACCGAACAUAGGAAUUUUUCAGCCUGUGAUUGUGAGUCUAAUAACAGGGAGUUUUUAGGCCUCUGUUAUCAUCAGUCGACAGCAUGUAUCUGGUGCAACCAGUGCAUACAAAUUGCAUGCAACAUGUAACAUCCAAUUGGAGCAUGGAAGGAUACAACUGCAAGCAACAGACAAUUCAAAGCAAAAAAUACUAGUAAGAUGAGAAGGUAGAAUUUCCUGAGUGGACACAUUUUAUGAAUUACAAUCCAAAUUGCAAUGCAUAGAUUUUAAUAAAUUUAAAUUAUUACAAGCUUUAAUA